rnacentral:rRNA from 1 species
CCUACGGGAGGCAGCAGUCGAGAAUCAUUCACAAUGGGGGAAACCCUGAUGGUGCGACGCCGCGUGGGGGAAUGAAGGUCUUCGGAUUGUAAACCCCUGUCAUGUGGGAGCAAAUUAAAAAGAUAGUACCACAAGAGGAAGAGACGGCUAACUCUGUGCCAGCAGCCGCGGUAAUACAGAGGUCUCAAGCGUUGUUCGGACUCACUGGGCGUAAGGCGUGCGUAGGCUGUUUCGUAAGUCGUGUGUGAAAGGCGCGGGCUCAACCCGCGGACGGCACAUGAUACUGCGAGACUAGAGUAAUGGAGGGGGAACCGGAAUUCUCGGUGUAGCAGUGAAAUGCGUAGAUAUCGAGAGGAACACUCGUGGCGAAGGCGGGUUCCUGGACAUUAACUGACGCUGAGGCACGAAGGCCAGGGGAGCGAAAGGGAUUAGAUACCCCUGUAGUC